GUCUAUGACUAUGCCACCCUGAACGUGCCCAAUCUUGUCUGAUCUCGGAAGCUAAGCAGGGUCGGGCCUGCUUAGUACUUGGAUGGGAGACCACCUAGGAAUACCAGGUGUUGUAGGCA
rnacentral:rRNA from 1 species